UUGUCCAUCAUUCAUUGAUGACAUUUAUUUGGAAAUAACAAAGAUGCUUUUCCUUCCGUCGGAAUUCUUUCUGGAAUGUGCGCUUUGGCCAGGCCGAAGUGAACUAUGAUGCUGAUGAAGACCGGAUCAGAUCAGCCGGCUAGUCAAGACCUGUUACCA